GUCCACACCCUAAACGAUGAUAACUCGUUGUUGGCGAUACACAGUCAGCGACUAAGCGAAAGCAUUAAGUUAUCCACCUGGGGAGUACGGUAGCAAGACUGAAACUCAAAGGAAUUGACGGGGGCCCGCACAAGCGGAGGAGCAUGUGGUUUAAUUCGAUGAUACGCGAGGAACCUUACCUGGGCUUGAAAGUUAGUGAAUGACGCAGAAACGUGUCAGCUCGAAAGAGCACGAAACUAGGUGCUGCAUGGCUGUCGU
rnacentral:rRNA from 1 species